rnacentral:rRNA from 1 species
UACGUAGGGGGCAAGCGUUGUCCGGAUUUAUUGGGCGUAAAGAGCGUGUAGGCGGCCUUACAGGUCAGCUGUGAAAACUCGAGGCUCAACCUCGAGACGUCGGUUGAAACCGUAUGGCUAGAGUCCGGAAGAGGAGAGUGGAAUUCCCGGUGUAGCGGUGAAAUGCGUAGAUAUCUGGAGGAACACCGGUGGCGAAGGCGGCAUUCUGGACCGACAUUGACGCUGAGGAGCGAAAGCCAGGGGAGCAAACGGG